rnacentral:lncRNA from 1 species
AAGAUUUAUGAUAAUUGUUUCACACUGCAAUAAAAAUUGGCAAAAAACAACAGAAAAAUCUCUUGAACUGUUUUAUGUAUUUGUAUUAGAAUUCGACCCUUCACAUCUCACCAAUCUUAGCAGUUAGCAGAGAAGUAGAAACAUAACAUCUUCAGUUGGCUUCAGGUCAUCAUAUCAUGCUGUUACAAAAUAUUCUAGCA